CACCCAGUAGCACACGGUGUGCAUCUGCUUAUACUGACAAGUUGUGGAGCAGCCGGUAAUUAUGCAGAAGGCCUCCGUUCGAUUCGGGGCUGGGUGA